rnacentral:rRNA from 1 species
AUGAACGCUGGCGGCGUGCCUAAUACAUGCAAGUCGAACGCUGGAGAUCUAGCUUGCUAGCUCGAAGGAGUGGCGAACGGGUGAGUAAUACAUAAGCAACCUACCCACGAAGACUGGGAUAAUCUCUGGAAACGGGGACUAAUACCGGAUAGGUAAUCGGAAGGCAUCUUCUGGUUAUUAAAGGUUAAAAACACUGGUGGAUGGGCUUAUGGCGCAUUAGUUAGUUGGUGAGGUAACGGCCCACCAAGACGAUGAUGCGUAGCCGGCCUGAGAGGGUGAACGGCCACAUUGGGACUGAGACACGGCCCAGACUCCUACGGGAGGCAGCAGUAGGGAAUUUUCGGCAAUGGGGGCAACCCUGACCGAGCAACGCCGCGUGAGUGAAGACGGCCUUCGGGGUGUAAAGCUCUGUUGUAAGGGAAGAACGGUAGAUAGAGAAUAUCUAAGUGACGGUACCUUACCAGAAAGCCACGGCUAACUACGUG